AAUUACCCAAUCCUGACACAGGGAGGUAGUGACAAGAAAUAACAAUACAGGGCUUAAAGUCUUGUAAUUGGAAUGAUGGGAAUCUAAACCCUUCCCAGAGUAUCAAUUGGAGGGCAAGUCUGGUGCCAGCAGCCGCGGUAAUUCCAGCUCCAAUAGCGUAUAUUAAAGUUGUUGCAGUUAAGAAACUCGUAGUUGAAUUUCUGCCUUGUCAUUAAUCUCGCUUCCGAGCGUUUUUUUAUUGACUUGGCAUCUUCUGGAUUUGGUGCCUUCGGGUACUAUUUUCCAGGAUUUACUUUGAGAAAACUAGAGUGUUUCAAACAGGCAUUCGCCUUGAAUACUACAGCAUGGAAUAAUGAAGUAGGACUUUGGUUCUAUUUUGUUGGUUAUUGAGCCAGAGUAAUGGUUAAUAGGAGCAGUUGGGGGCAUUCGUAUUUAA
rnacentral:rRNA from 1 species